GCCUCAGUGGUGUAGUGGUAGACCACGCUUCCCCGGAUAGAAUGAAUCGUAGGUUCGAUUCCCGCCUGAGGGA